AAAAAUUGAAGUUCAGUAUUUCAAAAAUUUAAAUAUUUUGUGAAAACACACCUUUACACGUGUCCUGAAUUGUUUUGGUGCUUGAGAUGGGUUUAAAGUCUGAGCUUCACAAAAGUAGUAGAAUGUAUGAAUGAAGUAAAAGAUAAGUGUAUAAAACAUGUCUACUAUUCCGUGGGCCGCAUAACGCGGAAGUAAACCCGGAAGCCAGAACUCACUUUUUGUGUGUCCUUUUUUGAGCGCUGUUUGAUUGAUUUUGAAUUAUAUAUUGCCAUGUGUGUUUGUGAAUUUAAACUGUUUUCAGUAAAAUCUAAAACCGGAACAGAAUCGGUCGGCCAAUCAUUGUUUUUCUUCCAAUGUAGCUCACGUAUGUCGUCACUAGCGCGACGUGGUUUGUCAUUGGCCUACGACCUUCUGGGAGGAGCUCAGAGAGGCGGAGAGAGGAAGUGGAAAACAUAUUUAAACUAAGUUUGAAGCAUUGCCUCUGUUUGCCAGUACUGUGCAAAAACGACGUUACCCUGGAGGUUUGGACGCUAAAACAAACUGGAGCUUCUGUUUUUGUCCAACACGAGUGAAGCUGGACGCUGAACACACCUACCAUGCGAAGGUUUACUGGUUCAGAUGCUGCAGCCUGGACAGAAGCUCUCACCUUAUAAACCAAACAGGUGUCUCCACUUCAUCCAGGAUCACAGAGUCUUCAUUGUUUGAAACCAGGACAGAGGCCUCCAGGUGUCUCCACUUCAUCCAGGAUCACAGAGUCUUCAUUCAUUGAAACCAGGACAGAGGCCUCCAGGUGUCUCCACUUUGUCCACGAUCGCAGAGACAUGGUCCUUGAUCGGAGACAUUGUCCCAUGCUUCGUAGAGACCUUGCGAUAGAAUUGGCGGAGACGGGGGUCACCGAUUUGACGGCACUGCCUGUAAUCACAGAGACGUAGUCCACGAGUCUUUGUACAAUGAAGAAGUUCUGUGAGACCAGGACAGAGGCCUCCAGGUCGACUUGUUCAGCUGCUGCAGCUCGGACAGAAACACGAUCAUCACCUCACUGGUCAACAGGUGUCUCCACUUCGUCCACGACAUCGAGUCUUCAUACAGAAGUUGUUUGAGACCAGGACAGAGGCCUCCAGGAUUAAAACUUGAACCAUUAAACCACAGAGAGAAGAGACAGACAUGAAGACAUUUUCAGAAGGUCUUCAGCUGCAUCGUCUUCCCCUGCAGAGACAAGAACACGUUAACCACAGAGGUACAUGAACAGUGUAUUAGAUACAGGAAAACUACUGAAACUGCUUUACUGCACAGUACUUGAAAAGGUAAAUGAAAAUCUAAAUUUCAAGCCUAUGAGAGACAGUUUUUACCUUUCCUCAUGUUUCUUUUUAGAAAUUACUAAAUAAAAUACUUAGUUACGUAAAUAAAUUUUACUAAUACUGUUUUUUUUGAUGCUUUUGGAAUACUGACUGUUUUUCCUUUCUAUACCAUGACAUGCAGCUUAAGUUAAAGAAAUUGCCUUAAAACAACUAUCUUACCUUUGUCUUACACAGACAACCCACAAACUCUGUAGAUCUGUGAAACUUAUAUUUCCCUAUUUUUAAUACUGCAAUAUCAGUACUCUAAUUCAAUAUACUACUGUAUACAUAGCCUUGUUUGUAAUCUGUUGUUCCUGAAUUUCCCCCUUUUGAUAAAUGAUUAUCUUACGCUUACUCUCUUAAUAAAUACUUUUGAAUACUCAACAGUUUCGUAGUCUGUCGAAUAUUUUUGGAUGAAUGCCACCUAUACCUCAUACGUUUU